rnacentral:rRNA from 1 species
AUUGAACGCUGGCGGCAUGCUUUACACAUGCAAGUCGAACGGCAGCGCGGGGCAACCUGGCGGCGAGUGGCGAACGGGUGAGUAAUAUAUCGGAACGUACCCAAGAGUGGGGGAUAACGUAGCGAAAGUUACGCUAAUACCGCAUACGAUCUAAGGAUGAAAGUGGGGGAUCGCAAGACCUCAUGCUCCUGGAGCGGCCGAUAUCUGAUUAGCUAGUUGGUGAGGUAAAGGCUCACCAAGGCGACGAUCAGUAGCUGGUCUGAGAGGACGACCAGCCACACUGGAACUGAGACACGGUCCAGACUCCUACGGGAGGCAGCAGUGGGGAAUUUUGGACAAUGGGCGCAAGCCUGAUCCAGCAAUGCCGCGUGAGUGAAGAAGGCCUUCGGGUUGUAAAGCUCUUUUGUCAGGGAAGAAACGGUAGGAGCUAAUAUCUCUUGCUAAUGACGGUACCUGAAGAAUAAGCACCGGCUAACUACGUGCCAGCAGCCGCGGUAAUACGUAGGGUGCAAGCGUUAAUCGGAAUUACUGGGCGUAAAGCGUGCGCAGGCGGUUUUGUAAGUCUGUCGUGAAAGCCCCGGGCUCAACCUGGGAAUUGCGAUGGAGACUGCAAGGCUUGAAUCUGGCAGAGGGGGGUAGAAUUCCACGUGUAGCAGUGAAAUGCGUAGAGAUGUGGAGGAACACCGAUGGCGAAGGCAGCCCCCUGGGUCAAGAUUGACGCUCAUGCACGAAAGCGUGGGGAGCAAGCAGGAUUAGAUACCCUGGUAGUCCACGCCCUAAACGAUGUCUACUAGUUGUCGGGUUUUAAUUAACUUGGUAACGCAGCUAACGCGUGAAGUAGACCGCCUGGGGAGUACGGUCGCAAGAUUAAAACUCAAAGGAAUUGACGGGGACCCGCACAAGCGGUGGAUGAUGUGGAUUAAUUCGAUGCAACGCGAAAAACCUUACCUACCCUUGACAUGUCAGGAAGUCUGGAGAGAUCUGGAUGUGCCCGAAAGGGAACCUGAACACAGGUGCUGCAUGGCUGUCGUCAGCUCGUGUCGUGAGAUGUUGGGUUAAGUCCCGCAACGAGCGCAACCCUUGUCAUUAGUUGCUACGCAAGAGCACUCUAAUGAGACUGCCGGUGACAAACCGGAGGAAGGUGGGGAUGACGUCAAGUCCUCAUGGCCCUUAUGGGUAGGGCUUCACACGUCAUACAAUGGUACAUACAGAGGGCCGCCAACCCGCGAGGGGGAGCUAAUCCCAGAAAGUGUAUCGUAGUCCGGAUCGCAGUCUGCAACUCGACUGCGUGAAGUUGGAAUCGCUAGUAAUCGCGGAUCAGCAUGCCGCGGUGAAUACGUUCCCGGGUCU